GAUGAACGCUGGCGGCGUGCUUAACACAUGCAAGUCGAACGGAAAGGCCAGUGCUCGCACUGGUACUCGAGUGGCGAACGGGUGAGUAACACGUGGGUGAUCUGCCCUGCACUUCGGGAUAAGCCUGGGUAACUGGGUCUAAUACCGGAUAGGACAAUGGUUUGGAUGCCGUUGUGGAAAGUUUUUUCGGUGUGGGAUGAGCUCGCGGCCUAUCAGCUUGUUGGUGGGGUAAUGGCCUACCAAGGCGUCGACGGGUAGCCGGCCUGAGAGGGUGUACGGCCACAUUGGGACUGAGAUACGGCCCAGACUCCUACGGGAGGCAGCAGUGGGGAAUAUUGCACAAUGGGCGCAAGCCUGAUGCAGCGACGCCGCGUGGGGGAUGACGGCCUUCGGGUUGUAAACUCCUUUCGCUAGGGACGAAGCGUAUUUGUGACGGUACCUGGAGAAGAAGCACCGGCUAACUACGUG
rnacentral:rRNA from 1 species